ensembl:lncRNA
UUGGGGAACAUCCCACGAGGCAAGAGGUCAGUGACGUCAUGAAGCGCGUAGCUCUGAUCUCACAGAUGGAUCUGUAGAUCUGUGUCAUUAGCUCACAUGAGAACAUGGAUCUAGAGCAGGGGAGGGGAACUCUGAUUGCAGCCCUGCAGAAUUCAGCUCAAACCCUAAUUAAAACUCACCUGCCUGUAGCUUUCUAGUAACCCUUCAGACCUUGAUUAGCAGUGUGUUUGAUUAGGGUUGAAGCAAAACUCUGCAGGGCUGCGGCUCUCCAGGACCGAUGUUCACCACCACUGCUCUAGAGGCUUGCUCAGAUGUUUAGUUCAGGCACCGAGAGUCACAAAUCUGCAGACGGCUGCAGAAAAGUGAUUAAUAUACAUACUAAUAUACAUUAAUAUACAUCUAAAAAAAAGGAAACAUGCAAAAAGGGUUCUGUGAGGGGUAGAGAAUAAAAAUACUAAAAAUACUCUACUGGGAUGUGCUAUGAAUAAAGACCAGUCAGGGUCAGUGUGCGGUUUAUAAAAACAAGUCUAUGAAAGGUCCUCAUUUAUCUAAUGUCUGUGUGUUUUGUAUCCCUGUCUCAUGGAUGUUUUUCACUGCUUGUGUUCUUCCAGCAGGAUUAAAUCAUUCCUCCUGCCAGCGAUUCCCAAACCGUGCAUCCCAGGGCUUGAAUCUGCUCUGCUGAAGAAGGGGAAGAUUGAUGAGAUCGAUCAGCAUUUCUCCAGUUUUCACAGCUAUAAGUCGCCCCAGUACUGCACGGAGACGUGGUACCAGGUGAGCGUGGACACGGGUCCGGCUAUGACGCCCAGCAUCAUCCAGUCUGACGGUAUACAGGAGGAUGUGCUGAUCACGCCAAUCACACCGAUUGUGCCGAUCGGGCCAAUCACGCAGUACGUCACCUGCCCCGACGGACAACAGUCUGUUCAGACCAGCUGCACUCCUAUGCCUUAUGUCCACGGCCCCGCCCCCUACUGUGAGGAAGACACGCCCCCUCCAGACCCUGGCCCCGUCCACCCGGAGCUCGUGUCUGUCCCAGGCAUGGACGACAGCAUGAUUCUAAACCCCACUCCCAACAUGAUUCUAAACCCCACUCCCUACUGUGAUGAAGACACGCCCCCUCCAGACCCUGGCCCCGUCCACCCGGAGCUCGUGUCUGUCCCAGGAAUGGACUACGGCAUGAUUCUAAACCCUGUCCCCUACUGUGUGGAAGACACGCCCCCUCCAGACCCUGGCCCCAUCCACCCGGAGCUCGUGUCUGUCCCAGGAAUGGACUACAGCAUGAUUCUAAACCCCGUCCCCUACUGUGUGGAAGACACACCCCCUCCAGACCCUGGCCCUAUCCACCAGGAGCUCGUUUCUGUCCCAGGCAUGGACUACAGCAUGAUUAUAAGCCCCGACCCCUACUGUAAGGAAGACACGCCCCCUCCAGACCCUGGCCCCGCCCACCCGGAGCUCGUGUCUGUCCCAGGAAUGGACUACAGCAUGAUUCUAAACACCACUCUCUACUGUGAGGAAGACACGCCCCCUCCAGACCCUGGCCCCGUCCACCUGGAGCUCGUGUCUGUCCCAGGCAUGGACUACAGCAUGAUUCUAAGCCCCACCCCCGCGCCGCCGCCCACUCAGGACUUCUACAUGUGUGUGAACGGCGUGACACCCGCCGGUGCUCUGCAUCUGGUGCCCUGCCUGCAGCUCCAUGAAGGAGCGGAUGACGAAACCGACAAGAGCCACCAGCUGGCAGCGCUGCUGGAGAAGCAGAUGGAGGCGCUGUUGAGCACGAUCGAGUCAGACCCGAGCGAUGCUGGCAUGCCUUCACUACCUCAUUCAUCAGACAGGAGCUGCAGAAGCAUCUGA